UCCAACUCAGAUGGCCUUUUUGUCUAACAU
rnacentral:piRNA from 1 species